rnacentral:lncRNA from 1 species
UUUGCAGAAGUCUCUUACAGCCGGGUCCCAAAGGUAGAGCUUCAUCACAGGCCCACUGCAAAAUAUUUUACUGAAUGGUUAAUAUAAGUAUACAGAUAAAGUGUUUAAGAAAUAAUAAAAAACUUACUCGUAUGACUGCACAUGAACCAACACAUGUCUCGCCCUAGCUAUCUCCACUUCAUCAAGAACUGGGGUCCCAAUGAGACAUUGUCCAUUAACCACCUUCAUGUGCCCAACAACAUCUAUACCAUUGUUCAUCAAGCGUGUAAGUAAGAAGACUACGCAAUAGCAUUCUACUAUUUCAUGACCAGACAAAACUGAAACACACAUAGAACUCAAGCAUCCUAAUCAAACUAUACUACAAUAGAACCCUCAAAAAAAAAAAAAACAAAACCCGAGUGUUGUAAAAAAAUCCUCCCUAAGGCUAUAAACACAAUUAGUGAAUCUCAUUUGUCAUGUUAUGUUCUGAAAGAGUGAUCGCAGAGACUGAUAAAGACAACGAUUCCAGAGAAUGCUUAUCACAAACCUACAAUACAUUUUAACCAAAUUUCGAGAUCAACCGUGAAAGUAAGAAGAGUGUGCAAUAAGUAAUCUACUUUCUCAUGAGCAAACAAAACCAAACACGCAUAGUACUGAAGCAGCUA